CUUCGGGGCCGGGGGGCCGGUUCGGAGAGCUGUUCGUCUUGGGAAACGGGGUGCAGCC
rnacentral:miRNA from 1 species